rnacentral:rRNA from 1 species
GGGGUGCCUACGAGAGUAGGCCGCAGUGAAUAGGCUCAAGCAACUGUUUAUCAAAAACACAGGUCUCUGCUAAAGCGUAAGCUGAUGUAUAGGGGCUGACGCCUGCCCGGUGCUGGAAGGGUAAGGGGAAUAGUUAGCGCAAGCGAAGCUAUGAACUUAAGCCCCAGUAAACGGCGGCCGUAACUAUAACGGUCCUAAGGUAGCGAAAUUCCUUGUCGGGUAAGUUCCGACCCGCACGAAUGGCGUAAUGAUUUGAGCACUGUCUCGGCAAUAAAUCCGGUGAAAUUGUAGUGCAAGUGAAGAUGCUUGCUACCCGCGGUUGGACGGAAAGACCCCGUAGAGCUUUACUGUAGCUUAGCAUUGAAUUUCGGUAUUGUCUGUACAGGAUAGGUGGGAGACUUAGAAGCGAGGGCGUCAGCUUUCGUGGAGUCGUCCUUGGGAUACCACCCUGACAGUACUGGAAUUCUAACUGGAGGCCAUGAAUCUGGUCACAGGACAUUGCUAGGUGGGCAGUUUGACUGGGGCGGUCGCCUCCUAAAAGGUAACGGAGGCGCCCAAAGGUUCCCUCAGCGCGGUCGGAAAUCGCGCGUAGAGUGCAAAGGCAGAAGGGAGCCUGACUGCGACACAUACAGGUGGAGCAGGGACGAAAGUCGGGCUUAGUGAUCCGGUGGUUCUGUAUGGAAGGGCCAUCGCUCAACGGAUAAAAGCUACCUCGGGGAUAACAGGCUGAUCUCCCCCAAGAGUCCACAUCGACGGGGAGGUUUGGCACCUCGAUGUCGGCUCGUCGCAUCCUGGGGCUGUAGUCGGUCCCAAGGGUUGGGCUGUUCGCC